rnacentral:lncRNA from 1 species
UAUGAAAAAAUGAAUGAAUAAAUAGAUAAUGUAAUGCUUUUGUAGCGUAGGGCAUCAUAGAACACUAGAACUUAACCACAAUAUAUGAGGAUAAACUAAACAAAGGCAAAUUUCACUUGGGAUGAACGAGUCUAGUUUGAAUAGUUUGGGACUUGGGAGGUUAAUUGACUCAUCAUUUUGUAUGAGGGGUUAAGUGCACAAAUAAGAUAGUUAAGUAAAAUAGGCUUUUUUAUUUGAAAAAAAUGGAAAGGUGGUCAUAUAUCAAAGAUAACGAAGGAGAUCUGUACCUUUUCCUAUUCUAUUUGUUCGAACAUUAUUGUUACUGUUAGAAAGGGACUAAUAGGCGUCUUGGGAGAAAGCUGAUGAGGCACGGGUCCUCGUUGUAGAAUGUGGCCUGGUGCCAUCCAUUUGACUUCCACGAGUGGAAUUCCGGCAUAUUUCGCAAUCAUUCCCUUGGCUUUCGCAAAAUUUGUAGGGUACGCUCACUCCGCUUCUGCAAUUUAUAUGACUCAUCUCUUUUUUUUUUUUGAUAAAUUUAUAUGACUCAUCUCAAUUUGUUAAGGGAAGCUACGGGUACGGCUCUAGCCUAUAUACUAAAUAAACAGUACAACUAGUUCCGAAGUGGAAUAGUGGGUAAUUGAUGGGAAAUGAAAUAUGCAGGUGCAAAUUCAUCUCUCAACUUUGACUCCGCUUUUCUAAAAAAA